rnacentral:lncRNA from 1 species
CAACAUUGCUGAUAUUACAGCUGGCAUCCCCUCCAAGUCCGCAGACUCAAUUCGGACUACUUCGUUAUUUGCGCACCUCAAAUCAAUAGUCUUGCUCUUGCAAUUCAUAAUCGCAUCAUGCGCGGUCAACCAAUCCAAACCAAGGAUAACAUCAAAUUCAUCAAACGGCAAAAGCAUCAAGUCCGCCGGAAAACAGGAACCUCGAAUUU